GACGAACGCUGGCGGCGUGCUUAACACAUGCAAGUCGAACGAGACGAUUGAAAGCUUGCUUUUGAAAGUCGAGUGGCAAACGGGUGAGUAACGCGUAGACAACCUGCCUUUGAGAUGGGGACAACAGUCCGAAAGGACUGCUAAUACCGAAUGUUGUGGAACUUCCGCAUGGAAGCUCCACCAAAGAUGACCUCUUCCUGAAAGUUAUCGCUCAAAGAUGGGUCUGCGUCUGAUUAGCNGUGUGGGCAACGGGCCUACCAAGGCGACGAUCAGUAGCCGGUCUGAGAGGAUGAACGGCCACAUUGGAACUGAGACACGGUCCA
rnacentral:rRNA from 1 species